UGAGGAAUAUUGGUCAAUGGAGGCAACUCUGAACCAGCCAUGCCGCGUGCAGGAAGACUGCCCUAUGGGUUGUAAACUGCUUUUAUACGGGAAGAAACAGUCGUACGUGUACGGCCUUGACGGUACCGUAAGAAUAAGCACCGGCUAACUCCGUGCCAGCAGCCGCGGUAAUACGGAGGGUGCAAGCGUUAUCCGGAAUCAUUGGGUUUAAAGGGUCCGCAGGCGGUCAAUUAAGUCAGAGGUGAAAUCCUACAGCUUAACUGUAGAACUGCCUUUGAUACUGGUUGACUUGAGUUAUACGGAAGUAGAUAGAAUGUGUAGUGUAGCGGUGAAAUGCAUAGAUAUUACACAGAAUACCGAUUGCGAAGGCAGUCUACUACGUAUAUACUGACGCUCAUGGACGAAAGCGUGGGGAGCGAACAGG
rnacentral:rRNA from 1 species